rnacentral:rRNA from 1 species
UGAGUACGAGAUGCUACGGCAUCGAAGCAGUCUAUGUCAUACUUCCAAGAAAAGCUUGCAAUGUCAUAAACAAAUAAUGCCUGUACCAUAACCGACACAGGUGGGUAGGUAGAGUAUACUAAGGGGCGCGGGAUAACUCUCUCUAAGGAACUCGGCAAAAUGACUCCGUAACUUCGGGAGAAGGAGUGCCUUAUUUUUAUAAGGUUGCAAUAACAAGAUCCAAGCAACUGUUUACCAAAAACACAGGUCUCCGCUAAGUCGUAAGACGAUGUAUGGGGGCUGACGCCUGCCCAGUGCCAGAAGGUUAAAGAAGUUGGUUAGCAUUAGCGAAGCUGAUAACUGAAGCCCUGGUGAACGGCGGCCGUAACUAUAACGGUCCUAAGGUAGCGAAAUUCCUUGUCGGGUAAGUUCCGACCCGCACGAAAGGCGUAAUGAUUUGGAUACUGUCUCGGAGAGGGGCUCGGUGAAAUAGACUUGUCUGUGAAGAUGCGGACUACCUGCACCUGGACAGAAAGACCCUAUGAAGCUUUACUGUAACUUGAGAUUGAAAUUGGACUUUAUCUGCGCAGUAUAGGUGGGAGACGUUGAGAAUAUUCUUGCGGGAAUAUUGGAGUCAUCAGUGAGAUACCACUCUUAUAAUGUUAGAUUUCUAACUUUGUAUCAUUAUCUGGUCAAAGAACAGUUUCAGGCGGGCAGUUUGACUGGGGCGGUCGCCUCCCAAACGGUAACGGAGGCGCACAAAGGUUUCCUCUGAACGUGUAGAAAUCGUAUCUAGAGUGUAAAGGCAUAAGGAAGCUUGACUGUGAGACCUACAAGUCGAGCAGGGACGAAAGUCGGUCUUAGUGAUCUGACGGUGCUGAGUGGAAAGGCCGUCACUCAACGGAUAAAAGUUACUCUAGGAUAACAGGCUGAUCUCCCCCAAGAGUUCACAUCGACGGGGAGGUUUGGCACCUCGAUGUCGGCUCAUCGCAUCCUGGGGCGGUAGUACGUCCCAAGGGUUGGGCUGUUCGCCCAUGAAAGCGGUACGCGAGCUGGGUUCAGAACGUCGUGAGACAGUUCGGUCCAUAUCCGGUGUAGGCGUUAGAAUAUUGAGAGGAGCCUUCUUUAGUACGAGAGGACCGAGAAGGACAUACCUCUGGUGUACCAGUUAUCGUGCCAACGGUAAACGCUGGGUAGCCAUGUAUGGAGAGGAUAACCGCUGAAAGCAUCUAAGUGGGAAGCCCACCUCAAGAUAAGUAUUCUCU